AGUGAACGCUGGCGGCGUGCUUAACACAUGCAAGUCGAACGAGAACGGAAUAUAGCUUGCUAUAUUUGUCAGCUAAGUGGCGCACGGGUGAGUAAUGUAUAGAUAACCUGCCCUUGAGAAAGGAAUAACAGUUGGAAACGACUGCUAAUGCCCUAUAUGCCUUUAAUACAUAAGUAUGCAAGGGAAACGCUUUAGUGCUUAAGGAUGGGUCUGCGCCCCAUUAGAUAGUUGGCGGGGUAAAAGCCCACCAAGUCAACGAUGGGUAGCUGGUCUGAGAGGACGACCAGCCACACUGGAACUGAGACACGGUCCAGACUUCCACGGAAGGCAGCAGUGAGGAAUAUUGCUCAAUGGGCGAAAGCCUGAAGCAGCGACGCCGCGUGAGGGAUGAAAUCCGUUAGGAUGUAAACCUCUUUUAUAGGGGAAGAACGGCCCGGUCGCCGGGUGUGACUGUACCCUAUGAAUAAGCACCGGCCAACUACGUGCCAGC
rnacentral:rRNA from 1 species